CUUUAGUUUUACAAAGGUGGUUUUGGGAAUAACUAUUAUCAUCCAUGGCUGGUCAGGGUGGCUCACACCUAUAAUUCCAGCACUUUAGGAGGCCAAGGCAGGCAGAUCACUUGAGGUCAUGAGUUUGAGACCAGCCUGGCCAACAUGAUGAAACCCUGUCUCUACUAAAAAUUAAAAAAAUUAGCCAGGCAUUGUGGAAGAUGCCUGUGAUUCCAGCUACUCGGGAGGUUGAGGCAGGAGAAUCACUUGAACCAGGAAGGCAGAUUUUGCAGUGAGCUGCGAUCACACCACCGCACUCCAGCCUGGGUGACAGAGCAAGAUUCCAUCUCAAAACAAAAAACAAAAAACCCUAAUAUCAUCCUUGCUUUCAAGUUAAACUAUAAACUAAAUUUCUCCCAAAGUUAGCUUGGCCUACCCCUGGGAAUGACCAAGGACAACUUGGAGGCUAGAAGCAAAAUGGAAUCAACUAUGUCAGAUUUCUCUUACUGUCAUAAUUUUGCAAAGGCAGUUUCAAAAAUUCUACCACAGUCCUUUCCACUUUAUUCAUGAUUUCACACGGUUUAAUGAAACAUAUCUAUUAAAGACUUUUAAUAGGCUAGAUUUAACUUAAUGUUUAUUGAAGAUAAACCUCCUUUUCUUUACCUAUUAUUAUAAACAAUAUUUGGUCCAGGUCAACUAUAAGGUGCAUGAACAUGUAAACACCAUCAAUGCUUCCAGCUAUAGAUAUUUAAUUAACUUCGAAAAAAAAAAAUCACACCACCUGCACCUGGGAGAAAGCUGUAACUCCCACUAUCUCAUGAAAUAUGCUAUCCAUCUGUAUACAAGCAGCUGAAAAAGCAGAAACUAAAUCCUUACCAUCCACAAUCAGAAUUCAACCCACUUGCUUUUCUAAUGAGAAUAGGACUAGAAUCUUUUUUUUCAUUACAUAAAAUCUAAAUUUCACUCUCCCCCAUAUCACAAAUAAUCCUUCAUUUUAUUUAAGGACUAACUGCAAUUUAUUACACUAGGUUUCUCAAUUCCUACACCUAGGAGUUGGAAUAAAUUCAGCAUUUGACACUUCAGAUUAAUUAAUUUGCGAUUUCCUCUAACAGCUUUGUCCUCCAACAUAAAGCUCUUCCUAUUUCAAAGUCCAUGUGGCCUAUUUUACUGUUUUCUAAUUUUUCAUUUCUGUUCUUAAGCCACCUUUACUCCUCAGAGAUUUGUGAAGCAGAGGACUGAUAAGCUUCUCUGAAAACAAUAAAUAAACAGAACUUCCUGACUCAGUUUAUCAACACUGUCAUAAACACAGCUGAAUUCUUUCUUCCAAGAAGAAUCAAGGACCAAGGAUCCCAUUUGAAUUCUCCACUGGUAUCAGGACUCCUGCAACAGAAGACAGAUUAACAGCAGAAAAGCAAACAUAAGUUUAAUAACAGGUACAGCUCCUGAAUAUGUCACACGCAUCCACGUGAAAAGACCACCAAACAGGCUUUGUGUGAGCAAUAAAGCUUUUACUCACCUGGGUGCAGGCAGGCUGAGUCCAAAAAAGGAGUCAGCUAAGGGAGAUAGGGGUGAGACAGUUUUAUAGGAUUUGGGCAGGUAGCGGAAAAUUGCAGUCAAAGGGGGUUGUUCUCUGGCAGCCAGGGGCGGGGGUCACAAGGUGCUCCAAUGGGGAGCUUCUGAGAAUCAUUGUCCAGGAGAAGGAAUUUCACAAGGUAAUGUCAUCAGUUAAGGCAGGAACCAGCCAUUUUCACUUCUUUUGUGGUUCUUCAGUUGCCUCAGGCCAUCUGGAUGUAUACAUGCAGGCUUGGGCUCAGAGGACUGACAGUAUACAUGAGAGAGAACUCAGAGAAAUCAGUAAACCUCUAAAGUUGUCAAAAAGUUUGACAACUCAAACAAAAAGUUUGAGAUCGCUAAAGAUCUCAAAAAGUUGUCCUCAGACUUCAGGCUUAAAUAUAAUCAUUCUCAAAAUCAAAGAAAGAGGGGCGUGGGGACAGGCCCUUUAACUGUAAAACAAGGAUAAGGUCUGUUAUGCAGAUUUAAGUAUAUACCCCUUCUUUUAACUAAAGUCUCUAGUGAUUUAGUUGGUCUUCUCUUCCUGGUACAAAGUGGGAAACACUUUUUACAAAAGGAGAUCUCUUUAUAGAUGUAAAUUUUUCUUAUAAAUGGAUAAACUUUCAGAGGUGCUUCUGUGUCUGAGGUGCCAUAGAGGUGAAUUGGGGGUGCAUAUACUGGUCUCUUACAGUCAUAUGUGGAGAAACAUUUUCUGAACCCCAUCAGUAGCAAUACAGCCUAUGUCCUUAUGACCCUUGUAAAGUGACUAUUCAGAAUCUAACAAAGGUUGAUGGAAUGAGCAUCUGACCAAUGUAAAUCAAAGAAAAUUACUGCAGCGAGUCUCAGUCAUGUUAGAGGUUUAUUUGCCAAGGUUAAGGAUGAGCACAGGAUAACAGGAACACAGACCACAGAAAACAUCUGUGUUUUCUGGUACUUUAAUAUUUAAAGGAAAAAAGUGGGUAUUAAGGGAAAGAGGGAAAAAAAAGGAGAGUAGAUAAAAGAGGCAAGUGGUUGCAUUUCUUUGAGUCUGCUCAGUCUUUGCUGAAUCCACAUUUUACAUGUGAAAGAGAGUAGAGGAAUAGUCACUUAUGUAAUUGUCUCUUGCUCAGGGAAUCUGCAUUUUUAUGUAAGAUAAAAUAAAUAUAGGGUAGAGGAAGCAGUUAGAUAUGCAUUUGUCUCAGGUGAGUGGAGGAAUGACUUAGUUCUGUCCUCUGCCCCAUAACUAUGAAGAUAAGUUGUCAAUUUACAUUGUCAGAGUGAAAUUUAACAGAACAAUUUUAGGGGAAAGAUCUUGGGGGCCUACAAGGAAUUUCCUUGUGAGCAAAUUGUGAGGGAAGUAUGUAGCUUUUUUAUCUUUGUAGCUAUUUUAUUAGGAACAAAACUGGAUGCAGGUUUGGGUGACCCAGUUCCCAGCUUGACUUUUCCCUUUGGCUUAGGGAAUCUGGGGUACUGAGAUUUAUUUUCCUUUCACAUCACCCAGGCCUUAUUUGAUCUCAGGUCUUCCCAUUUUGCCUCACCUCCAGUGCUCUCUUAGAACAGAAUACCUUCCCAGCAAGGAUAUCACACUCCUAACUUUUAAUCUAUUGCCUUCAUUUGCAGACUGUUCAAUCAUUGUUUUCCCCCUCCCAUUCUGUUGCAACCCAUUGUGAAAUUAAUAAACAAAUAAUAUCUAUUUUAGUAAAGAAGACUGAGGAAUGUAACCACAUCUGGAUGGAUUUUGUCACAAGACAUUGUCUGUAUCUAGGGCUCAUUCAGGUUACAAAGACAUUGUUUACAAGACAAUAUCUGCCUUCUGCCUCCAUUCAAUUCUCCUGAAAAUAAUUUACUACCUCGAAAAAUUGCCACAUUUCCUUUUCCCCUCUGAAGGCUGGUAUGUAAGCAUCUGGACCUCAGUAAGUUAUUGCGUAAGGAUUCUCCUGUUAUUCCCCUGUGCUUAUAGAUAGUAAAUAAAUUUGUACGCCUUUUUCUUCUGUUAAUCUGCUGAUUGUCAGUUCAUUUUCAGCAAACCUUCAGAGGGUGACAGGGAAGCCUUCUCUUCUCCCCUACAGAUUUGGCAUAGUUAGCAAGAUAUUCCAGAAGCCACAGUCCAGUGAACCCAGUGAUACCAGUGGACUGGGAAAGGUACUUGAACUCCAGUGGGAUCUCAACCCCAACCAGUAACCAGGCUCCUGACACCAUCAAGAGAAAGAAUUCAAGGAUGAGUCAGAAAAUAGUGCAAGCAUGGAGAUUUAUUGCAAAGGGCAAAGUACACACUCAAGAGAGGGGAAAGCAGGCGAACUCGAGAGGAG
rnacentral:lncRNA from 10 species